CCGCGCGCGGGACAUAGUCCCUCCUUCUUUUCCGGAUCAAGAAGAGCAGGAGUGGAGUGACGGAUACUCGUAUCUCAUCGCAAUACAGGCGUGGAGGCGGUCCACCUGCGUCCGUACGACUCAGUCGGAACUCUGCCUGUUUUUGAUGCGAACGAAUUGAGCAGAACUUGCUUGGUGUAGAUAAUGGUUGAGAAGACCCACUUCUAUUUCUCCUGAACCUAAUAUAAUACUGACACAGCGUUGGUGGUCAGUGACCAUUUAUUGGAUGGAUAGGCUAAAGUCCUGGUGGAGUGCCCAAGACCAGAACACUGGGGAGAAACCCUCUGAACUCCUGUCCACACUCCUGUCCACAGUGCAGUACUUUGGCCACCUGAUGCGAAGAGGCAACUUAGUGGAAAAGACCCUCAUCCUGGGAAAGAUUGAGGGCAGGAGGAGAGGGGGACGACAGAGGAUGAGAUGGUUGGACGGCAUCACUGAUUCAAUGAACAUGAGUUUGAGCAAGCUCCAGGAGAUGGUGAAAGGACAGGGACGCCUGGUGUGCUGCAGUCCAUGGGCUUGCGAAGAGUUGGACAUGACCGAGUGACUGAACAACAACAACAACAGAAAGUGGAUAUGAGUGGGAAAACUGGGGAUAACCAAGUUGAGCUUGGAGUUCAGUUAAUGGUAUUUAAUACCAAUAUUAAGUUCUUAAUUUUGACAAAUGUGCUUAUUAGGAACACCUCAGUAAAGGAUACGUGGAAACUCCCUGUACUAGGUUUUAAACUUCUCUGCAAAUCUAAAACUACUCAAAAACAUUGGGUUGACCAAGAAGUUCACUCAGGUUUUCCCAUAAUGGGAAAUUAUGGGAAAAUUAUGGGAAAAAAUUUCCCAUAAUUUUUUAUGAAAAAACCUGAAUGAACUUUUUGGUCAACCCAAUAAAAUGUUCAUUUUAAAAAGUCAAGCCUAUUAAUCAUAUCAUUCAAAUUUUCUAGUAAAAAUAAAGUCAGGAAAAAAUUAAAGGGGGGAGCUCUGCCUCUACUUCUCCAAACACUUCUAAUUUAGAACCUUCAACUCCAAAGUCCCCAUUGCGAUGCAUGUGUACAUGGUCAGUCAUGUCUGACUCUUUGCAACUCCAUGGGCUAUAUCCUGCCAGGCUCUUCUGUCCAGGGAAUUUUCCAGGCAAGAAUACUGGAGUGGGUUGCUAUUUCCUUCUCCAGGACGUCUUCCUGUCAAAGUCCCCAAGACAAGGAAACAAACACAAAACUUGGCCAUCUUCUUGAUAUAGUGCAGAAGACCCUUCAAUAAAUAAUAACAAGGGUCAAUAAUUUAAUGAGGCAGGGCAGCUGGUAUACCAAGAGUUUUCAUACAUCACUCUGUUUAAUCUUCACCACAUCCCCCUAAGGGCUUCCCCCUGUGGUUCAGCAGUAAAGAAUCGCCUGCAAUUCAGGAUACCCAAGAGACAUGGGUUUGAUCCUUAGGUCAGAAAGAUCCCCUGGAGGAGGGCCUGGCAACCCAUGCCAGUAUUCUUGCCAAGAAAAUCCCAUGGACAGAGGAGCCUGGUGGGCUACCGUCCAUGGGGUCGCAGGGAGUUGGACACAGCUGAAGCGACUGAGCAAGCAUGCAUGUCCUUCUAAAGGAGGUAACUGGGGCCCAGACGGGUUGAAACUUGUCACCCAAGUUUCUGGCUGAGUUGCACCAGGUCUGUGUGACUCUGAAGCCAGGGCUCUCCCAUCCACUCUGGGCUGCUGCACUAAACCUCUGUGGUGCUCACCCUCCACACUGGCCAUGUUAGAGCACCUCCCAGCAUCCCUGACACUGCUUUUGCACGUAGACCACUCCUCUGCCCAGUUAAUUCUACUUCCUCCAAGAGAACUUCUCUGACCCCUGAGAGAUCAGGUAUCCCUGUUUAGACUCACAGCACCUGUCAUUUGCCCUCCAUAGCAUUUCUUACAGUUUGUUCUUUUUUUUCAUUGUUUCCCAAGUUAGUGAUCUUUUUUUUUUUAAUUAUUUAUUUGGCUGUGCCAGGUCUUAGUUGUGGCAUGCAGGAUCUUUAGUUGUGGCAGUGUGGGGUCUAGUUCCCUGGACCAGGGGUUGAACCUGGGCCCCUAUAUUGGGAGCUUGGAGUCUUAGCCACUGGACAACCAGGAAAGUCCGUCUUAGUUUUUAAUGGUUUCUUCAUUUGUGGGUUACUUGUUUAUCAUGGUGGGACUGUGAGCUGUCAGCUAUCUAUGUUCACUGGUGUGUGUUCCCAGUGCUUACUUAGCACAGAGGCUGGCAGUUAGUAGGUGCUCAAUUAACAAGUGGUAACUGACUGAAUGACGCAUUCUGGGCACACUGAGAUUAACUCUAGGAGGCAGGGCUUACACUGGGCUAGCACUACAGAACCUGGCAUCCUGCCUCAGGAAAGUUCAGGAACAUGCCUCAGGGAUUCGAUCAGGCACACCUGAUAUAUACCUGGCCCCACUCUGACUAGAUAAGGAAGAGGGAUACCAGAGGAUGGCGAACCCAGGCUGGAGCAGCUUCUUUUAAGCCCCUACAAGAUGCAGCAGUCUUCCAGUAAAGGAGGCAUGUGCCGCUCAUCAUCUAGAUCUGUGCUGCAGUCACCAGCCACAUGUGCUAUAAGCAUAAUCCAGAGGUGCUAUAAGCGUAACAUGCACACCAGAUUUCCAAGACUGAGUUUGGGAAAAAAUAGAAAACAUCUCAAUCAUUUUUUAACCUUGACUAUAUUGUUGGAAUGACAGUAUUUUUUGAUGUAG
ensembl:lncRNA